rnacentral:rRNA from 1 species
GACGAACGCUGGCGGCGUGCUUAACACAUGCAAGUCGAACGGAAAGGCCCUGCUUUUGUGGGGUGCUCGAUUGGCGAACGGGUGAGUAACACGUGAGUAACCUGCCCUUGACUUUGGGAUAACUUCAGGAAACUGGGGCUAAUACCGGAUAGGAGCUCCUGCUGCAUGGUGGGGGUUGGAAAGUUUCGGCGGUUGGGGAUGGACUCGCGGCUUAUCAGCUUGUUGGUGGGGUAGUGGCUUACCAAGGCUUUGACGGGUAGCCGGCCUGAGAGGGUGACCGGCCACAUUGGGACUGAGAUACGGCCCAGACUCCUACGGGAGGCAGCAGUGGGGAAUAUUGCACAAUGGGCGGAAGCCUGAUGCAGCAACGCCGCGUGCGGGAUGACGGCCUUCGGGUUGUAAACCGCUUUCGCCUGUGACGAAGAGUGAGUGACGGUAAUGGGUAAAGAAGCACCGGCUAACUACGUG